UCUCACCCUGGUCACAAGGGGAGGUGGGUGCUGACUUGGAUCGAUCUUCCUCAGAUGAGCUGUGUGCAUACAUCCUCACCAGGUGAGAGACUACUUGCAAAGGGCAACGUGAAGACAGACAACGCUCCAGCAAACCCAACACUCUUGCAACAAGCCUGUUUAGCUUCUGAGCAAGAGUACCUCUCUCCCUUCUUUGCACACGAAGUUGAGCCACUACUUGGAUCAUGUGGCUUUUUUCCAGUGUUUGCAUCAGAAGCAAUCCAGCAAUAAAAAGAUUAACUAUGUCUCUU